AACGAACGCUGGCGGCAGGCCUAACACAUGCAAGUCGAGCGAGGACUUCGGUUCUAGCGGCGGACGGGUGAGUAACGCGUGGGAAUGUGCCCUUCUCUACGGAAUAGCCCUGGGAAACUGGGAGUAAUACCGUAUACGCCCUAUUGGGGAAAGAUUUAUCGGAGAAGGAUCAGCCCGCGUUGGAUUAGGUAGUUGGUGGGGUAAUGGCCUAACAAGCCGACGAUCCAUAGCUGGUUUGAGAGGAUGAUCAGCCACACUGGGACUGAGACACGGCCCAGACUCCUACGCGAGGCAGCAGUGGGGAAUCUUAGACAAUGGGGGCAACCCUGAUCUAGCCAUGCCGCGUGAGUGAUGAAGGCCUUAGGGUUGUAAAGCUCUUUCAGCUGGGAAGAUAAUGACGGUACCAGCAGAAGAAGCCCCGGCUAACUCCGUG
rnacentral:rRNA from 1 species